rnacentral:rRNA from 1 species
UACAGAGGUUUCAAGCGUUGUUCGGAUUCAUUGGGCGUAAAGGGUGCGUAGGCGGCGGGGUAAGUCAGGUGUGAAAUUUCGGAGCUUAACUCCGAAACUGCAUUUGAUACUGCCUUGCUUGAGGACUGGAGAGGAGACUGGAAUUUACGGUGUAGCAGUGAAAUGCGUAGAUAUCGUAAGGAAGACCAGUGGCGAAGGCGGGUCUCUGGACAGUUCCUGACGCUGAGGCACGAAAGCUAGGGGAGCAAACGGG